rnacentral:lncRNA from 1 species
UGUGUUAGGGCUGCAUCCAGCCCUAGAGAGGAGAUCAGCCUUCCAUGGAAAAUUGAACAGCUGCACUGCAGGGGGACUUCAUAAUGAUUGGCUCCUUCCUCCCGUCGGCUUCCUCUCUCUCUCUCUUGGAUUUCGGUGGAAACUCUCCUGCCAAGAGAGGGAACCGAACCGAAGUUGAAGAAUGAUGGGAGCAGCCCCCCCGGUGGGGAAGGAGAAGUGCCCCCACCCCCCAGUGGGGAAGAGGGAAUGCCCCCCCCCCCCGGUGGGGGAGGAAUGAAUGGAAGAGAAGAAUGAAUCCCGGAGAAGAGAACUCCCUUCCUUUUAUAGCUUUCCUAUCCUCUGUUAGCAUCCGGAGGAUAAGCUUCCCCAGUGAAAAGAUGAGGAUGGAGGAACGGCUUCUGUUCCACGGCAGCGGGCGACGCGUAGAAGAUUUGAUUCGAGCGUUGGGAAGAGGCAGAUGGUUGGGAAGCUUGAUCCGCGGACUGUUACAGUUCUGAUCCGUUGAAGCAAGGGAUAAGGGUGGUAGGUGGUUCGAAGAUGCUGCCG